CCACAGACCAGCAUGGUGCCAGCUCAGCCCUAGAGCUCCAGGCAGCAUCUUUCAAAUGAGAUGUGACAGGACACUCCUGCAGAGACAUAUUGCAGAGACUAUAAAGUGAAAGGUACAGGCGAAUUAUCUACUGGAACAGACCAGAUGCCUGUUGAAGUGAAUAUCCCCUCUGAGAAGCUGGCUUAUCACAGGCUCCAAGGAGAGAAAGGCAGACCUUAAGCAUGAUACCAACCAAUUACAGAAUCUGUCCAGAGAAGUUUAUUUUUCAUCAAGAGUUAAGCUGAGCAGUUGGCAUUUUCCACCAGCCAAACACAAGACAUGUAGAGUGCAUUUGCAUUGUCUGAAGGAAGACUGGGAUCUUUGGGAGUCGUGACUGCCCUUUCUGCCUGGCAGUCACUCCAGCAGUAUCCAUUUGGUGGCUGAGGACAUCUGGGGCAUCUUGCUCCUCUGCUGUCACAUGACAUGUUAUUUCUGCGUAAAGAAAUAAUCUCCUUUAUAGAAAGAUAUCACACUGAUUCUUUAAACUUUUUAAUGUCAUACUGAAAAAUGACAGCUGGGAUGGUUGAAUGGGUUGAUGGUGGAAACGUACUGUUGUGGGAAAACUGAAAUUCUAACAUAUGGUAGAUAGUUCCCCUCUACCAGAAUAGCAUGCUUCUGUUGCAUGGACAUUUCUGUGGAAAGAGAACAAAAGGCAGUUUAACUAUCAUCCGGCGCUUUCCCAGAGACAGGUUAGCAGCCCAUUCCCCUCCAUCGAUGCUGAAACAAGAUGUGCUGUGGGUUUUGAGUGACGUAUUUAUGUUAUGCUCAUUACUGUGGUAUUUAAAUAUAGGUCAGCCAGGGUCUUUGGUUGAAACUUCUCCUUAAUUAAAAACAUACAUAAGUUUGCAGGAAGUAGAGGGCAGCUAGUUGUACUGUGGAUGGUCUCCUACCUUUUGCGUGUUCUUUCGGCCUUACACAGAGAGCUGCUAAUAUUCCACACCUCAGUAUGGAAGCAGACCUCUAGCAGAUCUCAUUAAUGUAGGCCUAUGUCUCACCCAGCAGGCAAAGCUGGCUGGGAACAACUAGCUCAUUGGCUGCUUUAAUGGCUGGAAAUUAGUGGACUGAAGGUGAUCCUGCACGGGACUCAGUCAUGUAAAUUACUUUAUGCUUCAAUUUUCUCAUCUGCAGCUUGUUAUGAAGAUUGUUUCAUGUGUGCUUUGGGAUCUUUUGGGAAAGUGUGCCCUAUGUUAAAUUACAGUGUCAGUGCCUUUUUGGGGCCAGCCCUGCUUUGCUGGAGAAUGAAAGGCUAGGAACCCAAAGUGGCAGGACUGGAUGUUUCAGUGGUCAGUGCCCACAGUCAGGCCAGCUGACCACACCAGCUCUGUGCAUUGCCUGCCAGAGACAUUUGAAAAGUCUGGCUUCUCUCUAA